rnacentral:rRNA from 1 species
CCUGCGGAGGGAUCAUUACUGAGUUUACGCUCUACAACCCUUUGUGAACAUACCUAUAACUGUUGCUUCGGCGGGUAGGGUCUCCGCGACACUCCCGGCCUCCCGCCCCCGGGCGGGUCGGCGCCCGCCGGAGGAUAACCAAACUCUGAUGUAACGACGUUUCUUCUGAGUGGUACAAGCAAAUAAUCAAAACUUUUAACAACGGAUCUCUUGGUUCUGGCAUCGAUGAAGAACGCAGCGAAAUGCGAUAAGUAAUGUGAAUUGCAGAAUUCAGUGAAUCAUCGAAUCUUUGAACGCACAUUGCGCCCGCCAGCAUUCUGGCGGGCAUGCCUGUUCGAGCGUCAUUUCAACCCUCAAGCUCUGCUUGGUGUUGGGGCCCUACAGCUGAUGUAGGCCCUCAAAGGUAGUGGCGGACCCUCCCGGAGCCUCCUUUGCGUAGUAACUUUACGUCUCGCACUGGGAUCCGGAGGGACUCUUGCCGUAAAACCCCCAAUUCUCCAAAGGUUGACCUCGGAUCAGGUAGGAAUACCCGCUGAACUUAAGCAUAUCAUAG